UAACGAAUCUUCCACAAUGCACGCAAGUGUGAUGGAGCGACGCCGAGUGCUGGAUGAAGUCCCUCGGGAUGUAAACAGCUGUCAGGGAUAAGAUCUAUCUCAAAGGAAGUGGCGACUAACUCUGUGCCGGCAGUCGCGGUAAUACAGAGGCCACAAGCGUUAGGCGGAAUCACUGGGCUUAAAGCGCGUGUAGGCGGAUGUCUAAGUACCUUGUGAAAUCCCACGGCUCAACCGUGGAACUGCUUGGUAUACUGGAUGUCUUGAGGUGUGCAGGGGCGACCGGAACAGACGGUGGAGCGGUGAAAUGCGUAGAUAUCGUCUGGAACGCCUGUGGUGAAGACGGGUCGCUGGGCACAUACUGACGCUGAGACGCGAAAGCCAGGGGAGCAAACGGGAUUAGAUACCCUUGUAGU
rnacentral:rRNA from 1 species